AAUCUAUCAAGUUCAAUGCUUGCUUUGUUGUUGAUUUUAGUCAUUUUGCUAUUGGUUUAAAAAAAUUAAUGGAAUUGGAAACCAAUUCUGUCUAUUUCAGAUUACAUUAUUUGAUACCUUUGUUGAUUCCUAGAAUAGACUUCAGGUCAGUGAUUAUCAGAAAAUUGAAGAAAAGAAAAUAAAACUAAAGUACUACAAAUGCUGAUAAGUUGACAUAACAUGUCUUUUUUUGGGGGGGAAUGCUAGUCAUAGAACAUAUCAGCACACCAUGACAUGACCACGUUAUCGUAGUAAAUGUCCAAAUAGAACCUCAUAUAAAGGAUGACUAUAAUUCGUCCCACUACCAACAACACCUCAGAAUUAGGGGAUACUGUUGGCAAAAGUGAAAGCAA
rnacentral:misc_RNA from 1 species